UACGUAGGGCGCAAGCGUUGUCCGGAAUUACUGGGCGUAAAGGGUGCGUAGGCGGUUCGUUAAGUCUGUCGUGAAAUCCCCGGGCUCAACCUGGGAAUGGCGAUGAAUACUGGCGAGCUAGAGUGUGUCAGAGGAUGGUGGAAUUCCCGGUGUAGCGGUGAAAUGCGUAGAGAUCGGGAGGAACAUCAGUGGCGAAGGCGGCCAUCUGGGACAACACUGACGCUGAAGCACGAAAGCGUGGGGAGCAAACAGG
rnacentral:rRNA from 1 species